rnacentral:rRNA from 1 species
CACGUAGGGGGCGAGCGUUGUCCGGAUUUAUUGGGCGUAAAGAGCUCGUAGGCGGCUCAGUAAGUCAGGUGUGAAAACUCCAGGCUCAACCUGGAGACGCCACCUGAUACUGCUGUGGCUAGAGUCCGGUAGGGGAGCAUGGAAUUCCUGGUGUAGCGGUGAAAUGCGCAGAUAUCAGGAGGAACACCAAUGGCGAAGGCAGCACUCUGGGACGUGACUGACGCUGAGACGCGAAAGCGUGGGGAGCAAACAGG